rnacentral:lncRNA from 1 species
AUGGCUCCAUGCCUCCUACCUGCGGCUCUACCUUAUCACUGCCCCAGAACAGGCUCCCUGCUGUUACCCCUGGUGUCUGACCUCACAGAUCCAAACCCCAGCACACAGAGACCCUUCACCAGUAUCACCUCCAGCCUACUGUACAUCCUCUGUGGUCCCAAAGGUCCCUGCAAUGCCACCUCCUCCAGCCCCACCGCCUCUCACUUUCUGCCCCAAGCUGUCCAUCCACUGUCCUCCCAUUUAGUGCAUAGGUCCCCUCCACACAAACACAGGUGCCCAGGUGCACCCCCGAGUCCUCAGUGUGCUGACCCAGAGGCACUGAGUUUGGGGUCCUGGCUUGGGUGUGUGUGUGCUAAGCUCGGGGCACCUGUGACAGGAUGCCUGCUGUGAAGACCACUGGUUUCGACCUGCAGCCCCUCCCUCCUGGUAUCUGGCUGCCAGCCUUGCCAAAUCUGAUACGUCAUCAGGGGUUCAACUGCCUUCUCAGUC